rnacentral:rRNA from 1 species
GAUGAACGCUAGCGGCAGGCUUAAUACAUGCAAGUCGAGGGGCAGCAGGACUGUAGCAAUACAGUUGCUGGCGACCGGCAAACGGGUGCGGAACACGUACGCAACCUACCCAAAACUGGGGGAUAGCCCGGGGAAACCCGGAUUAAUACCUCGUAACCUUUUUAAGUGGCAUCACUUGAUAAGUAUAGCUCCGGCGGUUUUGGAUGGGCGUGCGCCUGAUUAGGUAGUUGGUGCGGGUAACGGCCCACCAAGCCUGCGAUCAGUAACUGGUGUGAGAGCAUGAACGGCCACAAUGGGACUGAGACACCGCCCAGACUCAUAAGGGAGGCAGCAGUAGGGAAGAUUCGGGAAUGGGGGCAACACUGACCGAGCGACGCCGCGUGAGUGAAGACGCCCGUCGGGUUGUAAAGCGCUGUGGCAAGGGAAGAACGGUAGAUAGACAAUAUCUAAAGGACGGGACCGGACCAGAAAGCCACGGCUAGCUACGUG